rnacentral:tRNA from 1 species
GACUUUAUAGCUCAGGGUUUAGAGCACUAGUCUUAUAAACCAGAUGUCAGGAGUUCGUAUCUCCCUGGGGCCU